CUUUAAGAUGGUGUGGCAGUCUAAGAUGCAUGGACAGCUAUGUUCUGGACCAUAUGGACCAGCCACGUAUCCAUUUCAGAAUCUGCCAAAGGAGAUUUGCAAAGAAGAGCAUCUUGGAGAAAGAACGUCA
rnacentral:miRNA from 1 species